AGAGAAGGAAAGAGAAAGGAAAGAGAAAGAAAGAGAAAGGAAAGAAAGAGAAAGAGAUAGAAGAAGGCAUCUGAGACAUCUGAUUCACAUAUGCACACACAUGCAUAAUACACACACAUGCAAAUACAUAUGUGCACAUGUGCAUGCACACAUACAUACACAUAUGCACACACAUAUAUAAACACACGCACACAAACAUACACAUGCCUGUGCACACACACACAGAGGCAAGUUCAAGAUCAUUUUUGCUAUGAUAGUUACCUUUCUUAUCUCUGUAACAAAACACCCGAGGAAAGUAACCUAAGAAAAGGCUUCUUUCAGUUUCCAGGCUCGGGGUCCAGCCCUUCAUGAUGUGGAAGCAGGCAGCAGGAGUGUGAGGGAGCUCGGCUCACUGUGUUUACAGGCAGGGAACAAGACCCAUGAAUGGUGGUGUUCAACAUUCAGCUCGUUUGCCUUCUGUUUUUCUUUGGUUUGGUUUGAUUUGCUUUCUUUAUUUGCUUUUUUCAAGCAGGAUUUCUCUGUGUAGCCCUGGCUGUCCUGCAGUUCGACCUGUAGACCAGGCUGGCCUUCAACACAGACAUCCAUCUACCUCCACCUUCCAAGUGUUGGGGUGGAAGGUAUACCGUGUCUAGUCCAUCUCUUGCUUUUUUUUUUCUUCAGUGCAAGACUCCAUUCUGUGGAAGGGUGGCUGCUUGCAUUCAAAUUUGUCUCCCCUUCCCUGUUAAAUCUCUCUGAAACCCUCACAGACCUGUGCAGAGAGGUGUCUCACGGUGAUUCUACACCCAGUCAGACCGAAAAUGAAGAUAACCAUCACACUUGACUACGUAGUCAAUUUUAGGCCAGCCUGUGCUACCUGAGACACAAAAAGAAGCUCAUCUUGUAUUGAUCAUAUUCUUUUGAAAAUGUUUCCCUUGUCUGUAGUUUAUUGGCAUCAGUUUAUGAUUGACUCUUAUGACAACAUAAUUUAAAUUUGAUCGUAGUUGAUUUUGUCCCUCUAUUUUACUGUUUUUUGUUUGGGUGUGUUUUCAAGACAGGACUUCUUUGUGUAGUUCUGACUGUCCUGAAACUCGCUAUAUAGACCAAGCUGGCUUCAACCCCAGAGACAUGCCUGCGUCUGCCUCCUGAGUGCUGAGAUUAAAGGCAUGUGCCACUAUGCCUGGUUACAAUUUGAUUUUAAAUAUCCCACUGAAGAAAUAUUUCCCCAUCAAAGGCCAAAAAGAAGUCUUUUUUAUUAUUCAACAAAAACGUUUUAGCUCUUGGAGGGGAACUCAGAGCCUCAUGCAAGCUAAGUAGAGGUCUACCUCAGAUCAAUAUUCCUGGCCCUUCCCUUUAUUCUAAAAGUUUCAAGUUUUGCUUUGACUAGAUCUUCCAUUCACACAGAGCUUGCACCUGGAAUGGUAAAGGAGACCUCUGGUGUACAAUGGUCACACUGAACACUGUCCUGGCACUGAUGCCCGCCUGCCCCCGCUAUAGGCCUUGUUCUCAUUCAUCUGUCGGCUGCUGGCUGAGCCCUGAGGCUCUGCUGGUCUAUGACAAUCAUGCUGCAAAGCCUUCUCUUCACACCUGCACAUUAGAGGAGCUCUCUCCUCCAGGAACAUCGCUAUUUCUAGUUCACUGAGCAAAGAAAAACAAGACAAACAACCAAACAAAUAAAACCCUUUUAAAACCAGCACAAGUACAGUUACAAACUAGCAGGGGUUUUCGAUUGCAGCUUUUUAAAAUUUACCUGGGAACUGUGCUAAACCACUCACGGUGACAAUGAAUUAAGCACCUUUGACAGCUUUCCUGGCCACGGUGUAUCUUAUUUGUCCAUUUAAACAUUAGUGCGUUUGCCAUUAGGUUCAUAGAUCAUUGUUUUCCUGGUGUGUGCAUGAAUGAACAUGUGUGUGCAUGAGUGCAUGUGUGUGUGUGCACAUGCACGUGUGUGUGUGUGUGUGUGUGUGUGUGUGUGUGUGUGUGUGUGUGUGUUUACACAAUGAUUCACGUUAACAGCACUUAGGAAUGUUAGGAGUUUUGCCUUAAAAUUGACUUGGUCUAAUGUUAAUUCAACAAUCUCAGCUUCUUUUAGGUCAGUUUUUGCUUGAAAUUUUUUUUGUACGGAUUUACUUUGAACCUUCAUUGUUCUGUUCCAGGCAUGUUUAGUAUUGUCCUGAAGUGAACCUGAUAUUAUGCGUCAGCACCGAUCCAUAACUGUGAUGACUAACGUGAUUUUACGCUUCUGAUUCACCCCACUUUUUCUUCUCCUUUCCUAUUUUGGAGCCUUUAGAUUUCCUUUAUUCCACCUGUCUUUCACUAGUGGCCUGAGAGAUGUACGCUCUGCUGUUUCUGCUUCACUGGCUUACACGUAAGACUGUAGUGGAGUGUCCCCAACUCCACAGUGACUGGCGGCAUCUUUAACCUUCUUCUGGAUGAUGGAAAGGCCUGGAGAUGUCAACGCUGGUCUCAUUUCCAUCUUUCAUGGAGGUACUUUGGAGAAACUUAGCUUCCAGCUGCUUCCUUUGUGAAGCAGCUCUGAUGCUGUGUAAUUGGAAAGGAUACUCACCUAUCUAAAGGCUAACAUGUUAUGAUAUAUUUGCAUGCAUGCUCACCCAUCACCACAAUCAAGAUCAAGACCACUUUGCUUCCAAAGCCCUAACAGCCAGAACAAUCACAGUUAUAGCAGCCACUCACAUGAUUGAGGUGAGUGUGCCACGUGCUCCAUCCUUUUGCCUGCCUUUGAUUUUCCACCUUACUCUUUUGUCCAAGUUGCUCUCUCUCUCUUUUUUUUUGUCUUGAAUAAACAGAGGCUUCUCACAGUGGCUCUGUGAAUGGUAUGCACCGCGAAUUUACUCCUUUGCCUUCAUGUUUGAAUGGAGCACCAGUUGGAUACAGAAUUCUGUAUCUGAACUUUUUCUCAGCAUUUGGAGAGCAACUGUUCUAUGGCAAGGGAAUAAAAUGGGAAUGUUAAAGAGACAUCAGCACUACCCUGGGCAUUGCAACACAAUUCAUGAUACACAAGAUGUAGACAUGACCUGGGUGUCCAUCAAUGGACAAAAUAGAAAGGAGUAUGUCACCAUGAAACACACAUGAUCCAGGAGGCUACUGCAGUAAGUGAAAUAAGCUGGGCAUGGAGAGACAUGUGAUUUUACUUGUGAUGGGGAUCGUGGGGAGAUGUCGGUCAAAGGACACAACAUUCCAAGGACAUAAGAAUAAGAAAUCUAUUGUAUAUCACGAUGGCUACAGUCAUUCAUGCAGAAUACUUUCAAAAAAUGCUGAAAUUAGAUGCAAAGGGUAGAAAGGAUAGCUGGGGUGAUAUACAUGGUGACUGGCUGGAUUCAGCCCUUUCACUGUGUACACUUCAAACAUUCAUACUAGUUAUAAUUCAUAUGCAUGGUUUAUGAUACUUAAAACUUAAAAUAAACCAUGGAAAAAUUGACCUAACACUAAAGUUGCCAUCUCCACUUGGUGCCCUCAUACACACACACUAAAGGUGACAUCGUCACCAGAUGCAGCUGUGCUGGUUAGUUUGAACUGUCAACUUUGGGUAUCUAGAAUCAGUAGCAAGAGAGUCUUAGAAUUAUCUUGAUCUGGUCUUAUCUGUGGGGGAUUGUGUUGAUUAUUAAUAGAUGUGGGAGGACUAAGCCUGUUGUGAGUGCUACCAUUCCCUAGGCAAGGGACCCUGAACAGUAUGAGAGAAGAGAAAGUUAGUUGAGAGAAAACAUACGAGAAAGCAAGCAAGCAAUCAAUCAAGCAAGCAAGCAAAGGCAUGCAUUUAUUUCCCCUUGUUCUUGACUGUAGACUUGAAGCUCUCAGUUCCUCCCUAGGCUUUUUCACAAUAAUGGGCUGGAGCUUAAGGUUGUGAACCCUUUAUUCCUUGGGUAGCUUUUUGUCAGGGUAUUUUAUCACAGCAACAGAAAUUAAAUAGACUAGUACAUCAUUCUGUUGUUGUUGUUGUUGUUGUUGUUGUUGUUGUUAUUGUUUUUAUCACCCCCGACACAAACUCCAUACAUUCAAGCAAUUCCUUCUCCCAGCCCCUGGGAACAAACACUUUCCUUUCUGUGUAUGUGAAUUUGACUAUGUAGGUGCCCAGUGCAAGUGGAAUAGCUUAGUCUGUUUUUGUUUUUUUGUUUUUGUUUUUGUUUUUAUCCAGUUUAUUUAGCAUGGUGUCUUCAGGUACCAAGGCACACGUCAGAACAUCCUUCAUUUUAAGGCUAUGUAAUAGUCCCCAUACACAGAAAGGAAAGUGUGAUCAGUGGGGAGAGAAUAUUUCUGAAGUAGAGAAAGAGAGAGAAAGAGAGAGAGAGAGAGAGAGAGAGAGAGAGAGAGAGAGAGAGAGAGAGAUCAG
rnacentral:lncRNA from 1 species